rnacentral:ncRNA from 2 species
UGAAAGUGACUACAUCGGGG